rnacentral:lncRNA from 1 species
CGGAGGUCACACAAGGAGUUGUAAAUGAGUCACAACUAAACUGCAUUUCUUGGUUCUCAGCUUAGGACACUCGCUACUUCUCCCAUGACAACAAAGCUCCCCAUGGCUCUUCCCAUCUGCAGUUCUCAAAGUCUUCGUAAUCGGUCAACCAACCCACCCGUCCAUCUAGACAUCCAUCCACCCAUCAGGAAGUAUGCAACCCAUGAAGCAGCCUUGGCAAGUACCACCCCCGAGGACAGAGGCUAGAAUAAAAUCAAGAGCUGCCACCAGUUUCAGAUUUCCUGACCAGCUAAAGACCAGUGGG